GUUAAUAUAUCUAUAGAAAUGGGUGAAUAUGUUACAAAUAUUUAUGGAAAGCUACGUAUACCCCAGUUGUCGUCCCGGCAUGGUCCCGGGACCCGUCUGCGUAUAAGCUUGUGGCAUUCAGGGCUUUAUUCCAUAGGGUCGUUACCCAUAUGACCAAUGUGUAAAUAAAGAGUAUGAGUGGCUGCAGAUUUUUAGUAUAGGGUAUAAAUAUGGCUACUCCUUUAAGUCCAUGAACUGGAUAUGGACUAAAGUUCAAGAUAGUUUCUUCAAGAAACAAUCGAAUGAUCCCUCAGAUGCUAUGCCGGAUAGGCUGCUAUAUCAUUGUGUUGUUCCGUACGAUGGCAAGGUAGAACGCACCCUUUGUAGUGCCUUAAAACAUAUACCAUGUAAGAUCAUUAAUAAGAGAGGUCAGCAUUUCAAAUCCUCCAUAACGACAAGGACUCCAUAUCUAAUGAUAGAAAGGCUGGUAUUUAUAAUAUUCCUAUCUAUAAUAAAGAUGAUAAUUGCACUCAGACAUAUAUAGGCAG
rnacentral:lncRNA from 1 species